UACGUAGGGGGCUAGCGUUGUCCGGAAUCAUUGGGCGUAAAGAGCGUGUAGGCGGUCCGGUAAGUCCGCUGUGAAAGUCGGGGGCUCAACCCUCGAAUGCCGGUGGAUACUGUCGGGCUAGAGUGCGGAAGAGGCGAGUGGAAUUCCUGGUGUAGCGGUGGAAUGCGCAGAUAUCAGGAGGAACACCGGUGGCGAAGGCGGGUCUCUGGGCAGUAACUGACGCUGAGGCGCGAAAGCUAGGGGAGCAAACGGG
rnacentral:rRNA from 1 species